rnacentral:rRNA from 1 species
GACGAACGCUGGCGGCGUGCUUAACACAUGCAAGUCGAACGGAAAGGCCCUGCUUUUGUGGGGUGCUCGAGUGGCGAACGGGUGAGUAACACGUGAGUAACCUGCCAUUGACUUUGGGAUAACUUCAGGAAACUGGGGCUAAUACCGGAUAGGAGCUCCUGCUGCAUGGUGGGGGUUGGAAAGUUUCGGCGGUUGGGGAUGGACUCGCGGCUUAUCAGCUUGUUGGUGGGGUAGUGGCUUACCAAGGCUUUGACGGGUAGCCGGCCUGAGAGGGUGACCGGACACAUUGGGACGGAGAUACGGCCCAGACUCCUACGGGAGGCAGCAGUGGGGAAGAUUGCACAAGGGGCGGAAGCCUGAUGCAGCAACGCCGCGUGCGGGAUGACGGCCUUCGGGUUGUAAACCGCUUUCGCCUGUGACGAAGCGUGAGUGACGGUAAUGGGUAAAGAAGCACCGGCUAACUACGUG